GGAAUCGCUGGAUCAGGCCCCCUCCGCGCGCGCGCAUCGAGCCCUGCAGCUCCCCCUCGGCAAUCCAUUCAGAGGCACCGCCCCUGUGCAGCAGCAUACGUGCGUGGCGCAUUGAAAUCUCAGACAUCAGCCCAAGGUUUUCUGUAACUUUCCUACAAUGGCAAGAA